UACGUAGGGUGCAAGCGUUGUCCGGAAUUAUUUGGGCGUAAAGAGCUCGUAGGCGGUUUGUCGCGUCUGCUGUGAAAACCCGAGGCUCAACCUCGGGCCUGCAGUGGGUACGGGCAGACUAGAGUGCGGUAGGGGAGAUUGGAAUUCCUGGUGUAGCGGUGGAAUGCGCAGAUAUCAGGAGGAACACCGAUGGCGAAGGCAGAUCUCUGGGCCGUAACUGACGCUGAGGAGCGAAAAGCAUGGGGAGCGAAUGAG
rnacentral:rRNA from 1 species